AAUCUUGAUUAUGCUUUGAGAAUGUUUUUGCAGGAAUAAUUCAAGACUUCAAGACUCCAUGUCUAAGUCAUAGAGUUUGUAUUAAGGGUGUAAAAGUGUAAAUUUCGUUUUUUUGGAUUGAUCAUGCAGGAGAUUAUCGUUUGGUGAUUGCGAUGAUCUUCGUUUUAUGAUUUAUUAGUUGUAUACGAGCUUUGUAGUAUAUUUUGUCACGAAAUCGCCAAAGGGGGAGAUUGUUAAGGAUUUUAUAGGUUGGCGAAUUUCGUAAAGUUGUUUGGAGUCUUGAAGAGUUGAUCGCAGAAGUUUUUGAGAAGAGAUUCAAAUUGGAGGACGAAGACUCAUUCGGAAAGAUCGACACCUAAGGUAUGAAGAAAAGAUCAUUUGUGGUG
rnacentral:lncRNA from 1 species